AUUGAACGCUGGCGGCAUGCCUUACACAUGCAAGUCGAACGGCAGCGGACCUUCGGGUGCCGGCGAGUGGCGAACGGGUGAGUAAUGCAUCGGAACGUACCUUUCAGUGGGGGAUAACGUAGCGAAAGUUACGCUAAUACCGCAUAUUCUGUGAGCAGGAAAGCAGGGGAUCGCAAGACCUUGCGCUGAUUGAGCGGCCGAUGUCAGAUUAGCUAGUUGGUGAGGUAAAGGCUUACCAAGGCGACGAUCUGUAGCGGGUCUGAGAGGAUGAUCCGCCACACUGGGACUGAGACACUGCCCAGACUCCUUCGGGAGGCAGCAGUCGGGAAUUUUGGACAAUGGGGGCAACCCUGAACCAGCCAUGCCGCGUGAGUGAAGAAGGCCUUCGGGUUGUAAAGCUCUUUCGGCCGGGAAGAAAUCGCACAGGCUAAUACCUUGUGUGGAUGACGGUACCGGAAUAAGAAGCACCGGCUAACUACGUGCCAGCCGCCGCGGUAAAAC
rnacentral:rRNA from 1 species